CCAGUUCCUGGUAAUAAGUCUCAAUCUCUCUCUCGAAUGGAACAUGGACACAUGUGAUUCAAGAUCACAUAUGAGCUUGAAACUGCUGAGGGACAGGUGAGGAACUGGGGCCUCCCGUGUCAACCAUGACUCAGUGUCCCUGACCUGCCCUCCUGUCCUCCUCCAGUGCCCUAGCACCUACCGAAUGCACGCUCCAGGUGAAGAAACAGCACAGAGACGUGCAGUAACUUGUCUGAGGUCACAAAGCUAGCAAAGGAUACAGUGCAAUUUGAGCCCAGAUCUGGCUGGUUCCUGAGCCCCAAAGUGCCCACACCCCAGAAAAGCUAAAAAGCAAGUUGGGAGGACACAGGAGCACAUUGAUGCUUUUAACUCCUUCAUUCUUGUAAUCCUUUUCAUCACCCCAACCUACUAUGAGCAAAGGAAGAUCCUGCAGAGCCACCACAGCCAGCCGCAGGGGGAAGAGCCAGUUACUUCCAGUACCUGUGUCUCAUUUUCUUACUUUGUAAGCUGAGGAGAAAGAUGGCCUCAUCGCCAAGUGGGAGCAGCCAGCACUAGGGUGACAGGAUGCCCCCAGUUCACAUCUGCUCAGGACCUGGGGGGACCUUAUGCAGAACUAGGAUCUCUGUGGGUGUUCUUAGUUAAGGCUCUCUAGAGGAGGGCAUCCUGGAUUCAGGAUGGGCUGUAAUCCAGGGACUGCAGUCCUUACAGGAAGGGAAAGGCAGAGCCACAGGAAGACGUUGGGGAGAUGGGGCUGUGUGGCUGCAGCCAGGAACCACCAGGAGCCACCAGGCAGGAAGGCUCCUCCUCCGGGGCCUGGGCGGGAGCACGGCCUACCAGACACUUACCUUGGACUCUCAGCCUUCGGAACUCGAGAGGAUGUAGCCCUGUGUUUGAUGCUGGACCUGAAGCAGCCUCAGGACACUGUCACAGGCUAACCUCUAGUGUUGUGCAGGCUACCAUCCUGAUGGUUGCAGGAGGAUGGAUGGCCCUCCCUCUGGAUGCCCCACCCAUUCGCCCCUGGCCCUGUGCAGCUCUGGUUGAGAGUGUGAGGGUCUGCUGGGGAGUGAGGAGCCUCUGCACAGUCCAGGCCCCACUGAGCACCGCACACCGACCUCAUGGAUGGGAGGAGUCAGCAGCACUCGGAGGGACGGUGGAGGGAGGAGACAGUCUUGCUUUCCUGGCUUUUUCAAUGGCGUGGCUUUUGAUGACGUGUUACCAUCACUGUGGAUGAAGUGGAGGCACAAGUAGGACCAUUGUGCCCUCUGAUACAUCCAGGGACCAGCCUGAGCCUGAGCCUCGGCUUCUUCUCUGGCCGAAAGGCUGUGGCCCACACAUGGGGGCAGAGUGGUGGUGUCAUGCACCAGGGCACAGUGGUGGCUGUGGCCAGGCUUCUGUGGUAGGAGCCAAGCUGAGCUCAUUCACCUGACAUUAUGCACUGGUCACCUACUGUAGCCAUGCCUAUCCCUAGGACCAGGUGCGCACCGUCCUUGGCAGACUAGGCCCUGUCCCACACUCCGUCCAAGAACACACCACCCAAUGGGCAAGCGGUUAAGACAAUAAAAAAGUGAGCAGAAGACCCACCCACCUCAGGACAGGUGAGGCACAGUGAAGAUAUCUGCCCGCUGGGCCCCUCUUGAUCCUGCACAGACCUUCAUAGACCACUCCCUUGUCGCUAAUGACAGGGAGGUCUUGGUCACUCUGAUAAGCUGGCUCCUGGUAGGCCUGGCUACCAAACUUGUGGCCAGAAAGUUUGGGACUUUGGGCCAGUGGACUUCCAGUGAGGGGAGAAGGUUAGAGAUUGAUUUUAGUCACUUAGCCAAGGAGAUAGCGACCACACCCACAAAUGAACCCCGGGGCUCUGAGGUUCUGGGUGGCUUCCUGGUGUGAAAGGUGAGGUUCAGGGCUGGCAGGGCCUGACUUCCAACACAGCUGGCAUUCCAGCUGCACACUCACUCCUGCGCACAUUGGACACUUCACUGUGCUCCUGUGCACAGCUCGGAGGGAGCUCAGCCCAGACUCACCACAGUCCUGGCUGCUCCCAGGUCUGGCUCUGGGGAAGGGAGGGGAAGAAAGUUCCCGCCGCUGCUCGGGACAGAUCUGGGUGCAGAUGAUUCCGAGGGCCAUUACGGGUCCAGAGAAGAACUAGCGGUUCCUGGGGCCGUUAUUGCUCCCGAGGGGGCCGAGGCGUGGACGCUAACAGAGGCCCCUGCUGCUCCCAGGCCUCCAACCUGCCCUCGCCAAACAGGUGUGCUCCAAGGGCCCAGGCCGCGCCUCCCUACAGGUCCCAGAUCCUCCUGCUCUGACUCAGCCUCCAGAGUCAUGCCUGCUGUGGCGCUGCCGCCCUCGCCUAAGCUCCAUUCCUUAUAUUGUGGUUUUUGUUUUUGUUUUUUUGUUUUUACUGAGCUCUUACAUGACUUAUCUGGUGUUACCAUCCUAAAUAAAUAUUUUAUUAAAUACAGAAUGAAUUGUUUGUCCUACAAAUUAACCUUUUGAACAUCCCAUGUUGUGGUUUGUUUUUCAUUGGGCAGCAAAAGCUCUAUAGGGCUGCAAACAUUUCACUCAACAAUCUGUAAAACUUUAUGUAUUUUGUGGAAAAAAUAUAAUUCUGGAUUCCUGAUUUUGCCAUUGUAUUGAUUUGUAAUAUUGUUUUGAUUUAUGUAAAAGUACUCGACUUUGGGGCUGGGGCUGGGGCUUAGUGGUAGGAUGAGUGCCUAGCAUGUGUGGGGCACUGGGUUCAAUCCUCAGCACCACAUAGAAACAAAUAAAUAGGGGUAUUGUGUCCAUCUACAACUAAAUAAAAAACAAUUUAAAUGUU